CAAGCGUCAAUACAAGGGCGUCUGGAGGAUGCCUUGGCGCACACAGGCGAUGAAGGACGUAGCAAGCUGCGGUAGGCUGCGAGGAGGGGCUAGCACCCGUCGAUCCGCAGAUUUCCGAAUGGGGCAACCC
rnacentral:rRNA from 1 species